rnacentral:rRNA from 1 species
UACGGGGGGGGCAAGCGUUGUUCGGAAUUACUGGGCGUAAAGGGCUCGUAGGCGGCCAACUAAGUCACACGUGAAAUCCCCAGGCUCAACCUGGGAACUGCGUGUGAUACUGGAUGGCUUGAAUUCGGGAGAGGGAUGCAGAAUUCCAGGUGUAGCGGUGAAAUGCGUAGAUAUCUGGAGGAAUACCGGUGGCGAAGGCGGCAUCCUGGACCGACAUUGACGCUGAUGAGCGAAAGCUAGGGGAGCAAACGGG